AUUGAACGCUGGCGGCAGGCUUAACACAUGCAAGUCGAGCGAGCGGCGGACGGGUGAGUAAUGUCUGGAAAUUGCCCGAUGGGGGGGGAUAACUACCGGAAACGGUAGCCAAAACCCCAAACCUUCCGUUGUGCCCCGAUGGGAUUAGCUUGUAGGUGGGGGAAUGGCUCACCUAGGCGACGAGCCCUAGCUGGUCUGAGAGGAUGACCAGCCACACUGGAACUGAGACACGGUCCAGACUCCUACGGGAGGCAGUAGUGGGGAAUAUUGCACAAUGGGCGCAAGCCUGAUGCAGCCAUGCCGCGUGUGUGAAGAAGGCCUUCGGGUUGUAAAGCACUUUCAGCGAGGAGGCGUUACUCGCAGAAGAAGCACCGGCUAACUCCGUGCCAGCCGCCGCGGUAAUUC
rnacentral:rRNA from 1 species